rnacentral:rRNA from 1 species
CCUAGGGGUGAAAGGCCAAUCAAACUCGGAGAUAGCUGGUUCUCCUCGAAAGCUAUUUAGGUAGCGCCUCGGACGUAUCCUCUUGGGGGUAGAGCACUGCAUGGAUGAUGGGGGCCCACAGCCUUACUGAGUCUAAGCAAACUCCGAAUACCAGGAAGGACUAUCCGGGAGACACACGGCGGGUGCUAACGUCCGUCGUGGAGAGGGAAACAACCCUGACCAACAGCUAAGGCCCCCAAUUCGUGGCUAAGUGGGAAAGCAUGUGAGACUUCCAAAACAACCAGGAGGUUGGCUUAGAAGCAGCCAUCCUUUAAAGAUAGCGUAACAGCUCACUGGUCUAAUCAAGAGGUCUUGCGGCGAAGAUGUAACGGGGCUCAAGCCACGAGCCGAAGCUUUGGGUGCACCUUCGGGUGCG